rnacentral:rRNA from 1 species
GUACCGCAAACCGACACAGGUAGUCAAGAUGAGAAUUCUAAGGUGAGCGAGCGAACUCUCGUUAAGGAACUCGGCAAAAUGACCCCGUAACUUCGGGAGAAGGGGUGCUCUUUAGGGUUAACGCCCAGAAGAGCCGCAGUGAAUAGGCCCAAGCGACUGUUUAUCAAAAACACAGGUCUCUGCUAAACCGUAAGGUGAUGUAUAGGGGCUGACGCCUGCCCGGUGCUGGAAGGUUAAGAGGAGUGGUUAGCUUCUGCGAAGCUACGAAUCGAAGCCCCAGUAAACGGCGGCCGUAACUAUAACGGUCCUAAGGUAGCGAAAUUCCUUGUCGGGUAAGUUCCGACCCGCACGAAAGGCGUAACGAUUUGGGCACUGUCUCAACGA